rnacentral:rRNA from 1 species
AGCAGCCGCGGUAAUACGGAGGGUGCAAGCGUUACCCGGAUUUACUGGGUGUAAAGGGCGUGUAGGCGGCUUUUCAAGUCCGAUGCUAAAGACUGAGGCUCAACCCCAGGAGUGCGUUGGAUACUGUGAGGCUAGACGGUCGGAGAGGGUAGCGGAAUUCUCGGAGUAGCGGUGAAAUGCGCAGAUACCGAGAGGAACGCCAAUAGCGAAAGCAGCUACCUGGACGAUUAGUGACGCUGAGGCGCGAAAGCGUGGGGAGCAAACCGGAUUAGAUACCCGGGUAGUCCACGCCCUAAACGAUGAGUGCUGGGUGUCCGGCGUAUGCUGGGUGCCGUAGCUAACGCGUUAAGCACUCCACCUGGGAAGUACGGUCGCAAGACUGAAACUCAAAGGAAUUGACGGGGGCCCGCACAAGCGGUGGAGCAUGUGGUUUAAUUCGAAGCGACGCGAAGAACACUUACCAGGUCUUGACAUGUAAGGAAUCUCCCUGAAAGGGGAGAGUGCCCGCAAGGGAGCCUUAGCACAGGUGCUGCAUGGUCGUCGUCAGCUCGUGUCGUGAGAUGUUGGGUUAAGUCCCGCAACGAGCGCAACCC